ensembl:lncRNA
UUUUUUUUUUUUUUUUUUUUCCGCCACAUGGAACCUUCUUUUCCUUGAAUUUUUAUGGAGACCCUAUUACCAUUAUUUCUUAUAGCUUCAGGAUUUGAGUCAUAGAAAAAUCUUCCCUCCUCCAAUGCUUAAAGGGAACCUCUCCUGCUUUCUUCUUGGGCGGGGCAGGGCUGGCGAUUACCCGGCGCCCGAUGGAGGAGCCCGGUUGGAAGCUGCGUGGUGCCCAGGCCUGGGGCUCAGCCCUGCACUUCGAGGCCCGUGUGCCCUGGAGCUGUGUUGGCGCUGUGGGCUGGGGGAUUCAGGAUUCAGCAGGAUAGGGGUGCUGUGUUCCCACACCCAGCCUCCAGUGAGUCCUCCCUCCACUGGGGGCAGGAACCUGUGGCCCCUGCAGCCUACGGGCCUGUGGACCACGCCUUGCCCCCAGGGGGUCCCAGGCCCCCCAACCCUGCUCCCUGUGUUUCCCACAGGGACACAGAACAUGCUGACCCAGACCUAAGCUCACAGCUGCGGGGGACGUCUCCCAUCCCUGGAAGGGCACACAUGAGGGUGGUUCCAGGGAUCGCCCCUCCCUGGCGUUUGUCCCUCAGCCCUGAAGCGUUUCUGAGGCCCUCCCUGUGCUGUUCCAUCCUGGGUGCCCGGGAGACCGAGGCCUGGUCUUCUGUCCCCUCGCUGGCCAGGGAAGGCCCGCACACAUGGGUGGUUGGUGGCCCCUGCUCCUCCUGGGCUCUGCGGUCCACCCUGAUGCUCCGGCCCCGAGCCCCUUUCCACUGUAAGGCUUUAGCCCCCACCGGCGGGUGUGGGUGAAUUGGAGGGGAGGGGGCUAAAUUGUUCAUUGAUUCCCUCCACUCGGUGGCUCAUUCUGUCUGUUGUUGGUUUCUGCACCUGUCCAUGCUUGCUGACAUGAGUUUGAAAUGCAUCUGUCUGUGCCCCCUCGGCACAGCUAAGACACACAGAGGGGAGUAGGUCAGAACCAAGAGGCCCUGAGCAGGAGAGAGGGGCUGCAGAGCUGGGAUGGGGGCUCCUGCUGCUCCCUGCAGUCUUGGUGCCUGAGCUGCAGAGCUCAUUCCCCUCCCAUGUAAGCUCUUAUGGGCAAGGCCUGUGCCCCGGGUCCUGAGCAUGGGGAGGGCGCGUCAGGUGGUCAUUUCUAGCAGUGAACGUUAUUAGGGGACAGAGAGGACAGUGAUGAACAAAGCCUGGUGGCCCAAGAAGCUUGAAUCCAGGAGGACCAGGCCAGCCUUAAUGCCUCUGAGCCCCAGCUAUGGGCUCCGGUCUGGGAUCUUAGAAAGGCUGGCCAGCUGUAGUCUGCAGUCCAUGAUGGAGGUGGGUGCCCAUCUGGGAGGCCCCGGUGGGAGGCGGGAGGUGAGGCCUGACAGGCAUGGGGUGGAUGGAGGCGCCCAGGAGGCCCAGGAUCUGGCCUGGGGAAGGUGGGCCUGGGCCACCCAGCGAGGGCAUAGGUGAGGUAUGGAUGGGGCAGGGCCCCCCAAGGCUGACCAGGCUGAGAUGGGCACCGCAGGGGUGUCCUGGAGAACUGGAAGGUGGGAGUGGCUGAGAGUCAGGCCCUCAAGGACUGGGAGAGUCUGGGGCUGGGGGCCUCCCCAUGGCCCCUCCCCUGACAGCGGCCCUCCUGGUUGAAGCUUCAGAAUCCCCAGGCUAUAGCAGAGCCUCUCUGGCCUCCCCACCUCUCCCCAGGUUCCCCUAAUGUCAUGGGGGCUCCUUCUCUCGGCAAUGGGGGCUGGCUGGGGGCAGCCAUGCGUCACUGGCUCAGCAAUGGAGAAUGAGAUGCUCUGGGAAAACGGCUGAGUGUCCCGCUGGGAACUCUCCCGGUGGGUGAGGGAGGGUUUUGAGGCAGUGGUGAGGCCAGGCCCCAGACUUCUCUAGCCCACGGCUCGGAGGCACAUGGCUUGGCUGGGGGUGCUGGGGCCAGGCUCGCACCCUUCCUCCCCAGGCGGCUGACUCUGGCCUUCCCUCCCCUGUCCCCACACUCCCAGGUGAGAUGGGUGUUGGCAGGUCGUUCUCUGGAGCAGGGAUCCCUGGAAUUCAGGUCUGUCCAGCCAGUACCUCAGCAGACGAUUGGUAAUUUUGUUGAAUGAAUGAAUAAAGUUAAAAGAAAUGGUGAGAGAUAAAGAAUGAUUAUUGAAUCCGCCAUAAAUCAUGAAUUCAUGUGUUUGAUGAGCGGGACUGGAUAGCAGGGGGCACGUGCCCAGUGGGUGGUCCAUGAGCGGUGGAUGGUGAUG